UACGUAGGUGGCAAGCGUUGUCCGGAUUUAUUGGGUUUAAGGGGUGCGUAGGCGGUCCUAUAAGUCAGUGCUGAAAUAUCCCGGCUUAACCGGGAGGGUGGCAUUGAUACUGCAGGACUUGAGUAAAGUUGAGGUUGGCGGAAUUGACGGUGUAGCGGUGAAAUGCUUAGAUAUCGUCAAGAACACCUAUUGCGAAGGCAGCUAACUAAGCUUUAACUGACGCUGAGGCACGAAAGUGUGGGGAUCAAACAGG
rnacentral:rRNA from 1 species